CUGAUUGAGAUUUUAACACGAAGUGAGUGGCGAACGGGUGAGUAACACGUGGGUAACCUGCCCAGAAGUAGGGGAUAACACCUGGAAACAGAUGCUAAUACCGUAUAACAGAGAAAACCGCAUGGUUUUCUUUUAAAAGAUGGCUCUGUAUCACUUCUGGAUGGACCCGCGGCGUAUUAGCUAGUUGGUGAGGUAAAGGCUCACCAAGGCAGUGAUACGUAGCCGACCUGAAGGGUAAUCGGCCACAUUGGGACUGAGACACGGCC
rnacentral:rRNA from 1 species